rnacentral:rRNA from 1 species
GACGAACGCUGGCGGCGUGCUUAACACAUGCAAGUCGAACGGAAAGGCCCUGCUUUUGUGGGGUGCUCGAGUGGCGAACGGGUGAGUAACACGUGAGUAACCUGCCCUUGACUUUGGGAUAACUUCAGGAAACUGGGGCUAAUACCGGAUAGGAGCUCCUGCGGCAUGGUGGGGGUUGGAAAGUUUCGGCGGUUGGGGAUGGACUCGCGGCUUAUCAGCUUGUUGGUGGGGUAGUGGCUUACCAAGGCUUUGACGGGUAGCCGGCCUGAGCGGGUGACCGGCCAGAUUGGGACUGAGAUACGGCCCAGACUCCUACGGGAGGCAGCAGUGGGGAAUAUUGCACAAUGGGCGGAAGCAUGAUGCAGCAACGCCGCGUGCGGGAUGACGGCCUUCGGGUUGUAAACCGAUUUCGCCUGUGACGAAGCGUGAGUGACGGUAAUGGGUAAAGAAGCACCGGCUAACUACGUG